AGAAGCAUAGGUAUAUUGUUGAAGUUGGAUUCAGUUUAUUUGCUCAAGUGCACAUAUAAGUCACUUAAUUAAGUACUGGUGGGAAGCUUUCAAUUAAGCUGUGUUUAGUUUUUAAUUAGCAGACUUCCAAUAGCUGCUCUUGAUUUCUACCUUCCAUAUCACAAACUCUGCAAUCAAGUACCAGAUUAAUUAUUCACUUAUGAAACUACUUGGAUGUGCAUAAUAUCAUAGUUAUCUCAGACCCGAUCAUACACGCAAACUUCAAUUUCAUACAUUUAAGUGUUUAUCCGGCAUAUUUUAUUUUAUUUUUUUUGUGUGGUAAAUUUAUCCGACAUAUAUUCUGCAGCAUAAAGGACACAAAAUGUUUGCAUUCUUCUGGUAGAAUAUAUAUAUAUAUAUGUGUGUGUGUGUGUGUGUGUGUGCCGAGUUUAACACAAAAAGGGUGUGUUUGGUAAGUGAGAUUCGCGGGGAUUGGAUAGGAUUGUGUCCCAGUCUAAUGUUUGGUUUUACAAUUUGAGAUCGGGACAACUAAUCCUAAACAGUAUUUUAAUCCCAAUCGAUCGGGACUCAUCUGACCCGUCUCCCCCCUUGGGUCAUUUUUGUCCCAAACUCAAAUGAAGCUUAGCUCACUCUCGCUGGUGUUCUCUCACCAAAGCAGAUCCUUGGAUCGUGUCAACAAUCGAAGGAGCUCUCUUUCCCUGUGAACGAUCGUUUCUCUCGCCGAAGGUCUAUAUCUCUCCGAGAAACAAACACGGCCGGUCUGUUUCUCAGUUGGGUUGUGUUCAAUCUCUGCUUCCCCUUCACUCAGCGGUAUCUUAUGCUCGGCUCACCCUCUUACCUCAGUAUUGAUUCCAGGAGCUCAAGGUCAUUGGCUCAGGGUAUGCUUUGCUGUGCAAACCCACGAGUUUGAUAUCUCCAAUGUUUUGUAUUUAGUAUCUUUGAAAAGGUUGAGGAAAAAAAAAGAAAAGAAAAAAAAUUGGAUAUGAGAGGGAUGGGACCCAACCCGAUGAUGAAAUGCAUGCCAUUCUUGGAGGACCCAUUAAUGAGGAGGAAUGAAAGCAUAUUUGACCAUCUUUACUUUCGGUAAUUGGGUCUCAGUGUGCCGCGAUAAGAGAUAUUGAAGUCGAGAAGAAUAUAGAGUUUGAUAUCUCCGAGAGUUCACCGCCCAUACAUGUGCUAACUGGAACAAUGAGUGCCGCAAUGGUUUUAUAUUAGGCUGUUUAUUUGAGUUACUAUCAAUGAGUGUAUUUACAUAUUUGUUAUAUAAGAAAAUUAUCCUUGUAAAAUCCAAUAUAUCCAUAUGUAUGCAGACAAGUAUGUGAAAUCUAUGUUAUCAACAAGUUCUUAAUUAAAUAUAAUAUUAACUUUUUUUA